CGACAUUAGCGAGUGUGAACCACCUGAAUCCAUACCGAACUCAGAAGUGAAACCACUCAGCGCCGAUGGUAGUGUGGGGUUUCCCCAUGUGAGAGUAGGUCAUUG
rnacentral:rRNA from 2 species